rnacentral:rRNA from 1 species
UACGUAGGCAGCGAGCGUUGUUCGGAAUUACUGGGCGGAAAGAGUGUGUAGGCGGCGCUCUAAGUUCGGUGGGAAAUCUCUCGGCUUAACUGGGAGGGUGCGCCGGAAACUGGAGUGCUCGAACGUGGGAGAGGAAAGCGGAAUUCCUGGUGUAGCGGUGAAAUGCGUAGAUAUCAGGAGGAACACCUGCGGUGUAGACGGCUUUCUGGACCAUUGUUGACGCUGAGACACGAAAGCGUGGGUAGCAAACAGG